rnacentral:rRNA from 1 species
CCGGCGCACGGGUGAGUAACACGUAUGCAACCUGGCCGUCACAGGUGGAUAACCGGAAGAAAUUCCGACUAAUACAGCAUAACACUCCUGGGGGACAUCCCUUGGGAGUCAAAGGAGGCAACUCCAGUGACGGAUGGGCAUGCGGCGCAUUAGGUAGUUGGUAGGGUAACGGCCUACCAAGCCGACGAUGCGUAGGGGUUCUGAGAGGAAGGUCCCCCACAUUGGAACUGAGACACGGUCCAAACUCCUACGGAAGGCAGCAG